AUUGAACGCUGGCGGCAGGCCUAACACAUGCAAGUCGAGCGAGCGGCGGACGGGUGAGUAAUGUCUGGGAAACUGCCUGAUGGAGGGGGAUAACUACUGGAAACGGUAGCUAAUACCGCAUACCAUCAGAUGUGCCCAGAUGGGAUUAGCUAGUAGGUGGGGUAACGGCUCACCUAGGCGACGAUCCCUCGCUGGUCUGCGAGGAUGACCAGCCACACUGGAACUGAGACACGGGCCAGAACCCUACGGGAGGCAGCAGUGGGGAAGAUUGCACAAUGGGCGCAAGCCUGAUGCAGCCAUGCCGGGGGUGUGAAGAAGGCCUUCGGGUUGUAAAGCACUUUCAGCGGGGAGGCGUGACCCGCAGAAGAAGCACCGGCUAACUCCGUGCCAGCAGCCGCGGUAAUAC
rnacentral:rRNA from 1 species